CUCAAACCGUGUGCAAAGCAACAGAACAUUCGACCACGUGCUCUUGAUGAGUCUAGUCGAUAUUGUUGAAGGAAUCGAAAAUGAUUGAAAAUUGAUGAAUUUUGUUCGAGGUUCCAUGAUAAUUGGUACCAAAUAAAGUAAAUUCUUUACAUCAAAAUGGACAAAUGAAGAGUAUCGAAUUUUCUGGUUGAUUGGAAAAUAAAUGAUUUAAAUCAUUGAACCAUUGGAUCGGUGUCACCGUAUUCGCUGGAAAAUGGAUUUGGUUGUAUCAUGAUUCGUAGUAGAAGGUGUGUUUAAAUUAUUAAAACUAAAAAUUCAAUCAAAAUAUGAUGAGUGGAACUUGGUUCCCAAAAAAAUAUGACAAGCAUAUGUCUGACCAUCCAUUAUUGAUGAUUUUUUUUCACUGAAUUUUGAUCUGGAUUUAUUAUAAAUUUCCAUCACAUUUGAUCAUUAUUUCUAAUUCGUUUUAUUUUUUUUUUUUUUUAAUU